CCUACGGGCGGCACCAGUAGGGAAUCUUCCGCAAUGGGCGAAAGCCUGACGGAGCAACGCCGCGUGAGUGAAGAAGGUCUUCGGGUCGUAAAACUCUGUUAUUAGGGAAGAAUAAAUGUGUGAGUAACUAUGCACGUCUUGACGGUACCUAAUCAGAAAGCCACGGCUAACUACGUGCCAGCAGCCGCGGUAAUACGUAGGUGGCAAGCGUUAUCCGGAAUUAUUGGGCGUAAAGCGCGCGUAUGGGGUUUUUUAAGGCUGAUGUGAAAGCCCACGGCUCAACCGUGGAGGGUCAUUGGAAACUGGAAAACUUGAGUGCAGAAGAGGAAAGUGGAAUUCCAUGUGUAGCGGUGAAAUGCGCAGAGAUAUGGAGGAACACCAGUGGCGAAGGCGACUUUCUGGUCUGUAACUGACGCUGAUGUGCGAAAGCGUGGGGAUCAAACAGGAUUAGAUACCCCGGUAGUC
rnacentral:rRNA from 1 species